rnacentral:rRNA from 1 species
AGUGAACGCUGGCGGCGUGCUUAAUACAUGCAAGUCGAACGGAGUGGCGCACGGGUUAGUAAUGUAUAGCUAAUCUGCCCUACACUAGAGGACAACAAUUGGAAACGGCUGCUAAUACUCUAUAGUGUAGGAUGAGGCUAUAUUGUAUCAGCUAGUUGGUGCGGUAAUGGCUCACCAAGGCUAUGACGCAUAACUGGUCUGAGAGGAUGAUCAGUCACACUUGCACUGGGACACAGUCCAGACUCCUACGGGAGGGAGCAGUAGGGAAUAUUGCUAAAUGGGGGAAACCCUGACGCAGCAACGCCGCGUGGAGGAUGACACUUGUCGGAGCGUAAACUCCUUUUGUUAGGGAAGCGGUACCUAACGAAUAAGCACCGGCUAACUCCGUGCCAGCAGCCGCGGUAAUUC